UUUGAUCCUGGCUCAGGACGAACGCUGGCGGCGUGCUUAACACAUGCAAGUCGAACGAUGAAGCCUAGCUUGCUAGGUGGAUUAGUGGCGAACGGGUGAGUAAUACGUGAGUAACCUACCUUUAACUCUGGGAUAAGCCUGGGAAACUGGGUCUAAUACCGGAUACGACCAAUCUCCGCAUGGGGUGUUGGUGGAAAGCGUUAUGUAGUGGUUAUAGAUGGGCUCACGGCCUAUCAGCUUGUUGGUGAGGUAACGGCUCACCAAGGCGACGACGGGUAGCCGGCCUGAGAGGGUGACCGGCCACACUGGGACUGAGACACGGCCCAGACUCCUACGGGAGGCAGCAGUGGGGAAUAUUGCACAAUGGGCGCAAGCCUGAUGCAGCGACGCCGCGUGAGGGAUGACGGCCUUCGGGUUGUAAACCUCUGUUAGCAGGGAAGAAGAGAGAUUGACGGUACCUGCAGAGAAAGCGCCGGCUAACUACGUGCCAGCAGCCGCGGUAAUACGUAGGGCGCGAGCGUUGUCCGGAAUUAUUGGGCGUAAAGAGCUUGUAGGCGGUUUGUCGCGUCUGCUGUGAAAGGCCGGAGCUUAACUCCGUGUAUUGCAGUGGGUACGGGCAGACUAGAGUGCAGUAGGGGAGACUGGAAUUCCUGGUGUAGCGGUGGAAUGCGCAGAUAUCAGGAGGAGCACCGAUGGCGAAGGCAGGUCUCUGGGCUGUAACUGACGCUGAGAAGCGAAAGCAUGGGGAGCGAACAGGAUUAGAUACCCUGGUAGUCCAUGCCGUAAACGUUGGGCACUAGGUGUGGGGGACAUUCCACGUUUUCCGCGCCCGUAGCUAACGCAUUAAGUGCCCCGCCUGGGGAGUACGGCCGCAAGGCUAAAAACUCAAAGAAAUUGACGGGGGCCCGCACAAGCGGCGGAGCAUGCGGAUUAAUUCGAUGCAAACGCGAAGAACCUUACCAAGGCUUGACAUAUACUGGACCGCAUCAGAGAUGGUGUUUCCCUUCGGGGCUGGUAUACAGGUGGUGCAUGGUUGUCGUCAGCUCGUGUCGUGAGAUGUUGGGUUAAGUCCCGCAACGAGCGCAACCCUCGUUCUAUGUUGCCAGCACGUUAUGGUGGGGACUCAUAGGAGACUGCCGGGGUCAACUCGGAGGAAGGUGGGGAUGACGUCAAAUCAUCAUGCCCCUUAUGUCUUGGGCUUCACGCAUGCUACAAUGGCCGGUACAGAGGGUUGCGAUACUGUGAGGUGGAGCUAAUCCCUAAAAGCCGGUCUCAGUUCGGAUUGGGGUCUGCAAACUCGACCCCAUGAAAGUCGGAGUCGCUAGUAAUCGCAGAAUCAGGCAAACGCUGCGGUGAAAUACGUUCCCGGGGCCCUUGGCCGCCCCCC
rnacentral:rRNA from 1 species